rnacentral:lncRNA from 1 species
UAAAGAGCAAGUAUAAUGAGAGAAAGUACGGAAAUGAAUUCAAGUCGUCAGCUAGUGGGCCCCACCGGCACCGUCUAGCCCGGCACCGCCUGUAGCAGAAGGUUGAGCCAUAUUAUCACACAAACAACUACUAAAGUCCGUAAAUUAAGCAAAACUGCAAAAUUGGCACAUGCAUGUGCGGAAUUGGCAAACGGAAAUGGAAACGGUCGGCAAACGGAAAUGGGCAUAGUUACUGUCUCAAACUGUUUUGACCAUAGGUUGGGCUAGAAAUAUCGGAUUAAGGUCCAUGAAGUACCAUUGCGAAGCUAAGAAGAAGGGAUACAACUCUUGUGAAGACACUUCAAUCUAGAUCUGAACGAAAACAGGUCAAAAUUAUGGAAAAGGGUACCAGAACUCCGUACUUUAGGGUACCGGACAGGGUCUGUUUGCUGGACCAUAACUCACAGCUCACAAACCCAAAGUAAGAAAUUCCAAAGGCGUUGGAAAGCUCUGACAUAGUGAUAGAACUUUUGUGUUUUAGACAAAACCUGAAUCAAUACAGAGCAAGGUGAAAAACGGGUCCAAAUUUCCCGUCAGAACUGUCUAAAUUCAAAGGCAGUUCUGACGACCAAUCUUGUUUUGGUUAUAACUAGAGCUACGGAACUCAGAUUUGGACGUACUUUAUACCAUUUUGAAGCAAAAACCAAGAUCUACAUUUAUUAUGAAGGGGUCAACACCCAGUUCGUACGUUAUCAAGAUGGACAAAGCAUGGUCAGAAGCAAAAUUCAAAAACGUAACACAAUCCAGUGUUCAAAACAGGAGUGAGUGUUUUGGUUAUAACUCGGGCUACACUGAUCCGUUUGACCUGAAAUGUUUCAGGCACAUCAAGGACUUAAGAAGCUACAACUUUCAUGUUUUGAGCAGCUUCCAAAUCAGCACGCAGCAUAAAGAAAAAUAGAGUCCAAGUUCGGAUUUGUGAAUGGCCCUGUUCUAGUUUUGCCGGUUUUUGAACUUUGCAAAUACAUGGUCCAUUGCUAUGAUUCUUAUACAAGUUUUCUAACCAAUUUUCAUACCAAAUAACACUACAUAUACCAGAUUCUAAAAGACCUAGUAAUGGUCCAAAAUUUCCUUUCCCAAAUUACCAAAUAUUAACCACCAUCUAGGUUCCAAUUCCACUAAUUCUUUACUAACUUCAAAACCUUAAUCAACUAAACCCUAACCUUCCAAGUUCUAACUAAAUCAAACUAAUUUUCCUUUUUCAUUAGGGUUCCAUAACAAACCUGAUUUUAUUAGGAAUUUACCAGUCAAAUGACUUAAUUACACCAAAAGUUUCAUUAUCAAGUCCAAUCACUCACCAAAUUAACUAAGUGAAGCUUAACCAAGAAUCCCUAAUUUUUUCUAGCCUUAACCAAAAUUUCAGCAACAUCAUCACUAAAUUAAACCAUGAAAUUACUCCAUAAUCACCAUAUAAUCAUCAUCUACAUCAUGAAAAAUCAAAAUCAUAACAAAAGCACCACUUUUCAUGGAUUCAAGUCUUAACUACCCAAAACCAACUUUCAAAUAGGAUGAUUUACCUUUGAUUCAAGCUUUGUAGAUGAUCAAAACACCACAAUCAAGUGCCAAGGUUGUUGUUCUAGGCUCCAAGAUCAAGAUUAAUGGACAAAAGUUGAUGCGCCAAAGGAAUUUUUUCU